UUUUUCGGAGAGUUUGAUCCUGGCUCAGGACGAACGCUGGCGGCGCGCCUAACACAUGCAAGUCGGACGCGAAAAGGGGCUUCGGCUCCUGAGUAGAGUGGCGAACGGGUGAGUAACACGUGGGUAAUCCACCUCUGGGUGGGGAAUAACCCGGGGAAACCC
rnacentral:rRNA from 1 species